UACGUAGGGUGCGAGCGUUGUCCGGAAUUAUUGGGCGUAAAGAGCUUGUAGGUGGUUUGUCGCGUCUGCUGUGAAAACCCGGGGCUCAACUUCGGGCUUGCAGGCGAUACGGGCAGACUUGAGUGUUUCAGGGGAGACUGGAAUUCCUGGUGUAGCGGUGAAAUGCGCAGAUAUCAGGAGGAACACCGGUGGCGAAGGCGGUUCUCUGGGCAUUACCUGACGCUGAGGAGCGAAAGUGUGGGGAGCGAACAGG
rnacentral:rRNA from 1 species